rnacentral:rRNA from 1 species
CUCGUAGGCGGUUCGUCGCGUCCGGUGUGAAAGUCCAUCGCUUAACGGUGGAUCCGCGCCGGGUACGGGCGGGCUUGAGUGCGGUAGGGGAGACUAGAAUUCCCGGUGUAACGGUGGAAUGUGUAGAUAUCGGGAAGAACACCAAUGGCGAAGGCAGGUCUCUGGGCCGUCACUGACGCUGAGGAGCGAAAGCGUGGGGAGCGAACA